CUAGUUAAUAAUUUUGAUUUGUUGGAUUGGUACAACUGGACGAAGCCUUGUCGGUUGACCAGCCAGCGAUUUCCUCUUUUUCUUGUUCUAAAAGGCCUAGCUGUGGCAUCUCAAAAUGUAGCAUGUGAUUUGAAUUAUGAAAUAUCUAAAUUUUUUUACUAAAAAAUUUUUCUUUAAAUUAUGCUAAAGUAGCAUAAAAUGUAAAUCUACAAUGCCUGAUUGAAUUUUAUAUUUGAAUAACCCCAGUUGGGUUUUUUUUUUAUUUUACCAUUAAUUUUGAAUGACCGGACAAAUAUAAUACCAGGAUAAAUACAGGAUGAAGGAGACUACACAUUUUC